UACAGGUGGCAGCUCUCGUCCCCUGAGAGCGGGCGAAGGCCAGGGUCCCACACUCGCAGCGCUGCGACGGCGCUCGGGACCUCCCUCGUCCACUGCUUGAGUUCCAGAGCGCCAGAGACCCAAGUUGAGGAACAGCCUAUAAAAUAACUGGCCUGUACUCUUACAUACAUGAAAGCCAUCAAAGACAAAGACUGAAGAAGAACUUUUGCAGAUUAAAGGACUUUAAGAGACAUGAUCCUGAACCAGAAAAAGUAAAAAAUAAAAAAAUAAAAAGAUCUGUAGAUUAGAUAAUAGUUUUAUAUCCAUGUUAAUUUCCCAUUUGUUGUAAUAUUACUGUGGUUGGGCAAGAGAGUGUCUUUGUUGGUGGAAGUAUCUACUGAAGUAUUUAGGGGUAAAGAGGAAUCAUGUCUGUAACUUAUGCUCAAAAGGUUCAGACAAAAUAUAUGUAAAGGGAAUGAUAAAGCAAACGCAAUAAAAUGUUAACAUUGGGGAAUCUGUAUAAGGGAAUUAUUAACUUUUCUGUAAGUCUAAAAUUAUUUCAAAUUAAAAAUAAUUUUUUUAAGCCU
rnacentral:lncRNA from 10 species